CAAAAAAGAGUUUUCUUCAUAAUUUUAUUCUUUCUGUAAUUAACAAGCUUACGAACAGCAGCAACUCUGCAGGGCCAAAAAAAUACCAGAAAGAUAAUUAAAAAAGAGUCAAUUUUUAGGAAGCUAAACAAAAGAUCUCACGUCACUCACCUGAAAUAGCCACCUAGCGGAGCAAAGCCGGACUCUUUUCUUCUAUUGCAACAUUCAGCUGAAAAUUCGGCCAACAAAGGCAAAGCUUUGAGCUGAAAAACUCACUCUUCCUCUCAGAGUGGGCACAAAUAUCCUGUGUCAAAAAACAGUGGGCCAAUCUGUUUCGUGGAGAAUUCUUGUGGCAAGCUGCUCUUGCUACGACAUUUCCUUUGGCUAACCAAGCUAAAAGGUGGCCUGGACCUAUCCCUCGAGGAUUGAGCAAGAGCAGAUCAGUUUAUUGCUUGCGGUAAAUCGAGAGACAUGGCUCAUGAUCUUGCUUCCCAGAUUUGGCUGGCUGUUCUUGACAAUUUAGAGGAAAAUGAGCACACUUUUCAAAUACUUAAACGUCUCGCACAAGAGGGGGAUGUUUUUCUUCCAUACCCCUACUCAAGAUCAUUCAAAGUCCAAUGGAGGGUGUUUGAAAAGCUCUUCACAGAUUUUCGCGACUGCUUUGAUCAUGUAGAUUACUAUGAUGUGUUGGCUUGCGCAAAGACCAAAUUUCAGCCAAUACCAUCCACUUGGUUAGGUUACUGAUCCACCUCAAAUGCCUAUUUAUUCAGGAUUCAUGAGUAUUUGUAUACAUAUAGGGGUCACUCUUUGCUUCUGCCUUCCGUCUCAUCUUGAAGAGAAUGGCCGUCUGAAAAAUUGAAAGUCUUGUGUAACAUGCUUGAUAGGAGCAUAAAGAAACUGUUUAUUUUUGUACUGUUGCAUGAUUCGAAUAUGUACCCAAAUAGAGGAGAAGAGUCGCUUGAAAUUUUUUGUUGUAUAACUACAAGAACCACGAGAAUGUAGUGCAACUUGAAAUUAUAUUUUAGCACAAAAGCAGUGAACAGGAUUCUUUUUGGGUCAAA